AGCGAACGCUGGCGGCAGGCCUAACACAUGCAAGUCGAACGAACUCUUCGGAGUUUGUGGCGGACGGGUGAGUAACACGCGGGAACGUGCCUUUUGGUUCGGAAUAACUCAGGGAAACUUGUGCUAAUACCGAAUGUGCCCUUCGGGGGAAAGAUUUAUCGCCAUUAGAGCGGCACGCAUCUGAUUAGCUUGUUGGUGAGGUAACGGCUCACCAAGGCGACGAUCAGUAGCUGGUCUGAGAGGCUGAGCAGCGACACUGGGACUGAGACACGGCCGAGAAUCUUACGGGAGGGGGGAGAGCGGGAUCUUGCACAGUCGGGUGAGGCAUGACGGAGCCAGGAUGGGUAAAUGAUGAAAGUAGUAGGGAUGUAAAGUUCUUUCAACGGGGACCAUCAUGACGGUACCCAGUGAAAAAGCCCCGGCUAACUACGUG
rnacentral:rRNA from 1 species